rnacentral:rRNA from 1 species
GGUCCUGCCUGCCCAGUGACAAUUUGUUUAACGGCCGCGGUAUUUUGACCGUGCUAAGGUAGCGUAAUCACUUGUCUUUUAAAUGAAGACCCGUAUGAAUGGCAAAACGAGGGCUUAGCUGUCUCCUUCCCCUGGUCAAUGAAAUUGAUCUCCCCGUGCAGAAGCGGGGAUAACACCAUAAGACGAGAAGACCCUAUGGAGCUUUAGACAAAUGAUGGAGCCAUCUUCCCUAAUCCCCCUGACCGGGAUUAAAAUUUAUGGACCCUCCUUCAGCGUCUUCGGUUGGGGCGACCAUGGGGCAUACAAAACCCCCACGUGGACAGGACCUAUAAGAUUUCUUAUGAAACCCUUCAGAGGAGAGCCACAGCUCUAUCCAGCAGAAAUUCUGACCAAACUGAUCCGGGCAAACCGAUCAACGAACCAAGUUACCCUAGGGAUAACAGCGCAAUCCCCUUUUAGAGUCCAUAUCGACAAGGGGGUUUACGACCUCGAUGUUGGAUCAGGACAUCCUAAUGGUGCAGCCGCUAUUAAGGUUCGUUUCUCAACGA